AUACGUAGGUGGCAAGCGUUAUCCGGAAUUAUUGGGCGUAAAGAGGGAGCAGGCGGCAGCAAGGGUCUGUGGUGAAAGCCUGAAGCUUAACUUCAGUAAGCCAUAGAAACAAGGCAGCUAGAGUGCAGGAGAGGAUCGUGGAAUUCCAUGUGUAGCGGUGAAAUGCGUAGAUAUAUGGAGGAACACCAGUGGCGAAGGCGACGAUCUGGCCUGCAACUGACGCUCAGUCCCGAAAGCGGGGGGAGCAAAUAGGAUUAGAUACCCUAGUAGUCCACGCCGUAAACGAUGAGUACUAAGUGUUGGAUGUCAAAGUUCAGUGCUGCAGUUAACGCAAUAAGUACUCCGCCUGAGUAGUACGUUCGCAAGAAUGAAACUCAAAGGAAUUGACGGGG
rnacentral:rRNA from 1 species